ACGGCACCACCAUCCAAAUUUCCACCGGUCUAAAAUGGUAAAUGUCAAUUAAACAAGAAAUAGGAUCAAACUUUAAUCCUCCACACAAGAAUGAGUUGCAGAUAAGCAUCAGACCACACAAGAAUUCAUCAUAAUACUAUAACAAUAAAUAUUCAUCAAUCAUCAGAAAAAUAAAAGUCCCUAAAUGCCAAAUCAAAAUCCACCGUCGAAGGUGAGGGAUAACUCAAUCUACGGACCCACCACGCCAUCAAUCGAAGCAACCACCGCACCAUCAAAUUUGUUUUUUGUUCUCCUCCGGCAAAGCCAUGGCAUUCAAGCUCGAGACCUUCGUCGAGAGAAAAAAGACCUCCAUUGAGAAGUUGUUGGGGGUAAUUGGAGAACUAUCCAUCCCAGAGCAUUGUGGACAAGUUGGGCGUUGCAAUUCUUGCGGAUUUGUGUUUCAUUCAUGGCUUCGAUUUAAUGACUCUAGUGGUGUUGAUUAAGGGCUUGCUUUAGAUCUAGAAG
rnacentral:lncRNA from 1 species